AGAAUCAACGCUGGCGGCGUGCCUAACACAUGCAAGUCGAACGGGAAAGUGGAGCAAUCCAUGAGUAUAGUGGCGACCGGGUGAGUAACACGUGACUAACCUACCCUUGAGUGGGGGAUAACCUCGGGAAACCGGGGCUAAUACCGCAUAACAUCUUCGGGAUGAGAAGCUGAAGAUCAAAGGAGCAAUUCGCUUUCGGAGGGGGUCGCGGCUGAUUAGCUAGUUGGCGGGUAACGGCCCACCAAGGCUUUGAUCGGUA
rnacentral:rRNA from 1 species